AGCCGUAUCAUGCUAAAACAGCGGUUCACAUAUGAUCACCAAAGUUCAGCAACAUCGAGCCUGGUCAGUACCUAGAUGAGUGACUGCUUGGAAAUACCAGGUGCUA